UAUAGGUCAAGCUACAAAGGGCGCAUGGUGAAUGCCUUGGCAUCAGGAGCCGAUGAAGGACGUGAUAAGCUGCGAUAAGCUUCGGGUAGGCGCACAUAGCCUGAGAUCCGAAGAUCUCCGAAUGAGGAAACUCACAUGGGAAACCCCAUGUAUCAUUAAGUGAAUACAUAGCUUAAU
rnacentral:rRNA from 1 species